rnacentral:lncRNA from 1 species
UCGGCGUCAAGAGAAUUUGGAGACUGUGACAUGCUUUUCUAAAGCAGUUAAAGAUUUUACAAGGCCAUGGUGACUUCGUGCGUCACUUAUAGCUGCACAAAUCACAUCAAGAAUACGCCUGCAAUCACUUUUCCCGUGUUUUUAAAAGACAGUGCCGUGAGUUCUGCCUGGGAACGUGCUGUUCGAAGAAAUAGUUGGAAAGCUAUGGACGGUGACCACCUCUGUUCUAUUCACUUCGAAGAAGGCUGCUUCGACAGAACGGGGCAGACAAUCGGACUGCAACCUGGCAGUGAACCUUCGAUUUUUCCUGCUUUCCAAGCGCAUCUGCAACAACCUCCUAUGCAUGCACCUCGUACGAACUGAGUGUGAAAGAGUUCCGGAGAAGCCUGUCAUCAAUGGUGGCUCGAGGAAAAGUUGGCCACUGAAUGUACAGCAGCUGCGCAUGGCUUAUGUUUCCUAUGGAAAGGGAACUUCCCUGAGCCACCUGGUUGCUGUAUUCAAGUAGUUCGCAUGUUCAGGAUGAUCAAUAUUAAGCCUUUUGCUUUUCUUUAAAAAAGUCAGUGCUGCAAGUUGUGUGUGUAAAAGCUACAUUUGCAGAUUGCUAAGUGUUCAGAGAAACACAUUGUGCAACAAUAAUUAUCACUGUCAGCCUUGCCCUUGAAUACGAUUCAGUGAUGAACUUAUUAGUGACUGCAGCAGGCGGCCAUGUAUGUAUUAAAACUUUGAGCCAGUCACAUUUCUACAUAGGUCCAAAGAGUUCUGGCAUGCCUGUGCUCAGAUAUCCCGCUGGAAAGUAUAGUUGUGGCUUGUAUGCAUGCAGGAAAGUGAGCACUAGCACACAGCUACUUUUCCCUGAGGUGCCACAUAUAAUCUGAUCAUGAAUCGAAGCCAUAGACAAGCAUUAUACUGGUUACCUUUUUACUACCGGCUGGAAUAGCAAGCACUUACUGCCUGUCUCACCAGGGAGUAAUGUUUUGGUGAUCCUCGCUGCCUUGCAUGCGUAAUCAUAAAAAUCACAAUAAACUUCCGAGUGAAAUAUCUCAGAGCUUAGACAUGCUCGAGGAAUUUUUCCAAGUGGGAGUUUGUAGAGAACACGACUGCCACAAACUGUUCUAUGCAUACAUACCCAUUUAUUGUAGGCACCAAAAUUUCGGUAUUAGUUGAUUGGGCAGCUGACAGCAUUAUUGUCUAACUUUUGUGUUCCCCUGGACACAUAUUUUAUCUGCAAAGGCAGUUUCCUGUUCUUAGGGCUGAAUUUUAUUACAAGCACAAAGCACGUCUCUGAAUGUGUCAGUACUGCUUUCUAAGGUUUUAUGUCAUGUUUAAUUUAUGUGUAAUCUGCAGUUCGUCACUUAAAAUUGAACUUUUUGCAUUGCAAUAAGGCUGUAGCAGAUCAAUGGUUUUAUUUCCACUGUAACAUUGACUGAAUAUUUUGUGUUAUUGUUUUUGUAACCUUAUUUCAUUGUCUUCUCGAAUUUAAUGCCGUAAGUGCCAUCAAGUGAUUUUCUAUUGUCAUACUUAAUCAUACCUAACUUUGCCAAUACCUAACCAUUUGUGAUAUAUUAGCGAUACCUAAACAUGUUUAACAUUUGUUAAUGAUGACUGGAAUACUGUCACGUUUUUUUUUUACUUCACUGUGUCGUUUGUGCGAGUAUUUCGGGAUGGAAUUAGCGUUCGGGGUGUUGCUAAAAUCACAAUUUGAUUGUUAAACACAGAUUCAUGGUGAAGCCCAUUAAUUUCAACUACUCAUGGUUCUAACAUACCUAAUUUAGACGCACUGGGUGAGAAUAAAAAUGAAUUGUUCGACUGCUGAUUUUUGGCUGUAACAAAUUUUCUACCUUUGUAUAUUUGCUACUGGGCCAAUGUGUUUGCUAAGCCAGCCUUCUAAAUUUCGUUGCACUGAUAGAAGUCUUCUCGAAGAGAACAGUUUGUGCCUUUUGUAUGUGUGCAGGUUCCUGGACCAAGUAUCUAGCCAGCCCCUUAAUUGCUUUGUAUAAAUAUAUUUACUAUAAAGCAUGCAUGUUUUGGGACAAAGUGUGCAGUCAUUGUUAUGUAUAAUAAAGGUUACAAGUAUGCAACAAGA